CCGCCCCGCUUCCUUUCUCUUAGCGUCCGGCCAAGCCGGCAUCUCUUUAAUCAAGUUUCUGCAUCAGGAAUGGGAAGACUAGUUGGGGAUCCGACGGUAAAUGAAUAGGUGACUUUCAGCAGGUUCACACUAAGUACACACUCAUCCUGUAAAAAAGGAUGAUUGUGAGGGUGCAGCGCAGAUGUGCGUACAAAUGGUUCAAGAUAAGGAUCUCUGCUUUUCGACGUUGGAGGAGUCAUUGUGUACCCUGGAUUCAUUGAUUCAUACCUUACUUUGUGCUAGGUGCUGGGGAAAGAGCAGAGAAGGAGACAGAUUCAGUCCCUGAUCUCAUAGAACUUAAACUUUGGUGAGAGACAACCAAUAACCACAGAGAUGGUUUGUCCUUACUGGAGCAUGUUUAUAGUAGCUGUUUUAAAGACUUUGUCAGAUAAUUCCAACAGCUGUGUACUCUCAGCAUUUGUUGAUUGUCUUUUCCUUUGUGAGUUGAGAUUUUCAUGUUCCUUCAUAUGUGUUAGCUCUGAUCAAAUAAUCAAAUCAAUUUUGCCUCCUCUGGAAACUGACCUUUAGAUCAUUUCACAACUGACAUUCUCUUUCGCUUAGACCACAUUCCAUUUGCUAAGAACAGUAACUUUCCCCUCCAGACUUGCCCAGGAUCUGGACCUGCCGAGAGAAUUCUCCAUAGAAAAAAAAUCCUCCUAGAGUCAUUUAAAAUUUCUGACUCUCUGUCCCUGGCUGCUGAUGCCAUUUUGGUUCAGCUCAUCUGGUCUCCAAAUGAUCUAAUAAAUUUGUAAUCCCUUGCCACUUUUG